rnacentral:rRNA from 1 species
UGAUGCAAUCAUACCCGCACUAAUAUAUUGGAUCUUAUCAGAACUCCGCACUUAAGUGUGUUUGAGCGAAAUACUAAGAUGGGUGACUUCUCGGAAAGUUUCCGUGUAUCUGUUU